rnacentral:rRNA from 1 species
UUAAGCGACCAAGCGUACACGGUGGAUGCCCUGGCAGUCAGAGGCGAUGAAGGACGUGCUAAUCUGCGAAAAGCGCCGGUAAGGUGAUAUGAACCGUUAUAGCCGGCGAUGUCCGAAUGGGGAAACCCAGUGUGAUUCGUCACACUAUCAUUAACUGAAUCCAUAGGUUAAUGAGGCGAACCGGGGGAACUGAAACAUCUAAGUACCCCGAGGAAAAGAAAUCAACCGAGAUUCCCCCAGUAGCGGCGAGCGAACGGGGAGGAGCCCAGAGCCUGAAUCAGCAUGUGUGUUAGUGGAAGCGUCUGGAAAGGCGCGCGAUACAGGGUGACAGCCCCGUACACAAAAGCGCAUGUGCUGUGAGCUCGAUGAGUAGGGCGGGACACGUGGUAUCCUGUCUGAAUAUGGGGGGACCAUCCUCCAAGGCUAAAUACUCCUGACUGACCGAUAGUGAACCAGUACCGUGAGGGAAAGGCGAAAAGAACCCCGGCGAGGGGAGUGAAACAGAACCUGAAACCGUGUACGUACAAGCAGUGGGAGCACAGGUUUACCUGUGUGACUGCGUACCUUUUGUAUAAUGGGUCAGCGACUUAUAUUCUGUAGCAAGGUUAACCGCAUAGGGGAGCCGGAGGGAAACCGAGUCUUAAUUGGGCGUUAAGUUGCAGGGUAUAGACCCGAAACCCGGUGAUCUAGCCAUGGGCAGGUUGAAGGUUGGGUAACACUAACUGGAGGACCGAACCGACUAAUGUUGAAAAAUUAGCGGAUGACCUGUGGCUGGGGGUGAAAGGCCAAUCAAACCGGGAGAUAGCUGGUUCUCCCCGAAAGCUAUUUAGGUAGCGCCUCGUGAAUUCAUCUCCGGGGGUAGAGCACUGUUUCGGCCAGGGGGCCAUCCCGGCUUACCAAUCCGAUGCAAACUGCGAAUACCGGAGAAUGUUAUCACGGGAGACACACGGCGGGUGCUAACGUCCGUCGUGAAGAGGGAAACAACCCAGACCGCCAGCUAAGGUCCCAAAGUCAUGGUUAAGUGGGAAACGAUGUGGGAAGGCCCAGACAGCCAGGAUGUUGGCUUAGAAGCAGCCAUCAUUUAAAGAAAGCGUAAUAGCUCACUGGUCGAGUCGGCCUGCGCGGAAGAUGUAACGGGGCUAAACCAUGCACCGAAGCUGCGGCAGUGACACUGAUGUGUUGUUGGGUAGGGGAGCGUUCUGUAAGCCGUUGAAGGUGUGUCGUGAGGCAUGCUGGAGGUAUCAGAAGUGCGAAUGCUGACAUAAGUAACGAUAAAGCGGGUGAAAAGCCCGCUCGCCGGAAGACCAAGGGUUCCUGUCCAACGUUAAUCGGGGCAGGGUGAGUCGACCCCUAAGGCGAGGCCGAAAGGCGUAGUCGAUGGGAAACGGGUUAAUAUUCCCGUACUUGGUGUUACUGCGAAGGGGGGACGGAGAAGGCUAUGUUGGCCGGGCGACGGUUGUCCCGGUUUAAGCGUGUAGGUGUGUGUUCCAGGUAAAUCCGGUUCACUUUAACACUGAGGCGUGACGACGAGGCACUACGGUGCUGAAGCAACAAAUGCCCUGCUUCCAGGAAAAGCCUCUAAGCCUCAGGUAACAUCAAAUCGUACCCCAAACCGACACAGGUGGUCAGGUAGAGAAUACCAAGGCGCUUGAGAGAACUCGGGUGAAGGAACUAGGCAAAAUGGUGCCGUAACUUCGGGAGAAGGCACGCUGACACGUAGGUGAAGUGGUUUACCCAUGGAGCUGAAGUCAGUCGAAGAUACCAGCUGGCUGCAACUGUUUAUUAAAAACACAGCACUGUGCAAACACGAAAGUGGACGUAUACGGUGUGACGCCUGCCCGGUGCCGGAAGGUUAAUUGAUGGGGUCAGCGCAAGCGAAGCUCCUGAUCGAAGCCCCGGUAAACGGCGGCCGUAACUAUAACGGUCCUAAGGUAGCGAAAUUCCUUGUCGGGUAAGUUCCGACCUGCACGAAUGGCGUAAUGAUGGCCAGGCUGUCUCCACCCGGGACUCAGUGAAAUUGAACUCGCUGUGAAGAUGCAGUGUACCCGCGGCAAGACGGAAAGACCCCGUGAACCUUUACUAUAGCUUGACACUGAACACUGGUCCUUGAUGUGCAGGAUAGGUGGGAGGCUUUGAAGUGUGGACGCCAGUCUGCAUGGAGCCAUCCUUGAAAUACCACCCUUUAAUGGCUGGUGUUCUAACGUGGGCCCGUGAACCGGGUUGCGGACAGUGUCUGGUGGGUAGUUUGACUGGGGCGGUCUCCUCCUAAAGAGUAACGGAGGAGCACGAAGGUUGGCUAAUCCUGGUCGGACAUCAGGAGGUUAGUGCAAUGGCAUAAGCCAGCUUGACUGCGAGCGUGACGGCGCGAGCAGGUGCGAAAGCAGGUCAUAGUGAUCCGGUGGUUCUGAAUGGAAGGGCCAUCGCUCAACGGAUAAAAGGUACUCCGGGGAUAACAGGCUGAUACCGCCCAAGAGUUCAUAUCGACGGCGGUGUUUGGCACCUCGAUGUCGGCUCAUCACAUCCUGGGGCUGAAGUAGGUCCCAAGGGUAUGGCUGUUCGCCAUUUAAAGUGGUACGCGAGCUGGGUUUAGAACGUCGUGAGACAGUUCGGUCCCUAUCUGCCGUGGGCGCUGGAAGAUUGAGGGGGGCUGCUCCUAGUACGAGAGGACCGGAGUGGACGCAUCACUGGUGUUCGGGUUGUCAUGCCAAUGGCACUGCCCGGUAGCUACAUGCGGAAGAGAUAAGUGCUGAAAGCAUCUAAGCACGAAACUUGCCCCGAGAUGAAUCUUCCCUGAGCCUUUAAGGCUCCUGAAGGAACGUUGAAGACGACGACGUUGAUAGGCCGGGUGUGUAAGCGCAGCGAUGCGUUGAGCUAACCGGUACUAAUGAACCGUGAGGCUUAACCUU